rnacentral:rRNA from 1 species
GAUGAACGCUGGCGGCGUGCCUAAUACAUGCAAGUCGAGCGAACGGACGAGAAGCUUGCUUCUCUGAUGUUAGCGGCGGACGGGUGAGUAACACGUGGAUAACCUACCUAUAAGACUGGGAUAACUUCGGGAAACCGUAGCUAAUACCGGAUAAUAUUUUGAACCGCAUGGUUCAAAAGUGAAAGACGGUCUUGCUGUCACUUAUAGAUGGAUCCGCGCUGCAUUAGCUAGUUGGUAAGGUAACGGCUUACCAAGGCAAUGAUGCAUAGCCGACCUGAGAGGGUGAUCGGCCACACUGGAACUGAGACACGGUCCAGACUCCUACGGGAGGCAGCAGUAGGGAAUCUUCCGCAAUGGGCGAAAGCCUGACGGAGCAACGCCGCGUGAGUGAUGAAGGUCUUCGGAUCGUAAAACUCUGUUAUUAGGGAAGAACAUAUGUGUAAGUAACUGUGCACAUCUUGACGGUACCUAAUCAGAAAGCCACGGCUAACUACGUG